UCUACUAAAAAUACAAAACUUGUUUUUUUAGAUACACUAUCUUUAGUGAGGAACUGUGUAUAAGUAUUAUUUAACUGUUAAGCAAAUACUUGAAACAUAUUUGGAAGAUUCAUGUUGCUGUGUGUGGCACAUCAUCCUACGAAACUGGUGUGACACAGUCCUAGAAAAAUAUAUAAAUGCCUUUGUCAAACAUGCAGCCAGCCUCAAAUAUAGAAAAUGACAUCUUGAAGCUGUAAUUCCCCAAUUCUGUGGGUCUUAAUCUUGAGUCAUUAGAUUCACCUGGAACCUUAAGCAUCACCUGAUAGAGUUUAUAAAUGCUAAUACCUGAUAGGUGCAGCACCAACAUAAUACGCAUGGAGGUCUUGGAAUCAUUUACCAAGAAGGUCCUGAGCACAGAAGUUGGUGAGACGGCAAAGCAAUAUAUGGAGAAAAGCCUUUUGGUUCCAGACCAUGUGAUCACACGCCUAAUGAUGUCCGAGCUGGAGAAUAGGCCUGGCCAGCACUGGCUCCUCGAUGGUUUUCCUAGGACAUUAGGACAAGCCGAAGCCCUGGACAAAAUCUGUGAAGUGGAUCUAGUGAUCAGUUUGAACAUUUCAUUUGAAACACUUAAAGAUCAUCUCAGUCGCCAUUGGAUUCACCCUCCUAGCGGAAGGGUAUAUAACCUGGACUUCAAUCCACCUCAUGUACAUGGUAUUGAUGAUGUCACUGGUGAACCAUCAGUCCAGCAGGAGGAUGAUAAACCUGAAGCAGUUGCUGCCAGGCUAAGACAGUACAAAGACGUGGCAAAGCCAGUCAUUGAAUUACACAAAAGCCGAGGAGUGUUCCACCAAUAUUCUUCUGGGACGGAGACGAACAAGAUCUGGCCCUACGUUUAUGCACUUUUCUCGAACAAGAUCACACCUAUUCAGUCCAAAGACGCAUAUCGACCCUGCCCAGUGGAAGAACCAGGAAGAUGUGGUCGUCCAUUCAAUUGAGUGUGUAGUAUUGAUGCUGUGUCCAAAUUAGAAGCUAGCUGAGGUAGCUUGCAGCAUCUUUUCUAGUUGAAAUGGCAAACUGAUAGGAAAACAAAUGAGUAGCAAGAGUUCACGAAGAGGCCCUCCUCUGCCUUUCAAAAGGAAGGUCACCUACACAUGUUUAAGGUGUCUCUGCACAUGUCUCAAGCCCUUCACAAGAAAGCAAGUACAGUGUGGGAAUCCUCAAAAAGCAUGGGAAGUCUAAGUAUUUAGCUACAUAAUGUUGUAAGAUCAUAUCUUAUUUAUAGAAGUAAUAAGAUCGUUGGAAUUACUGGACAAAUUGAAUAGUUAAGGUUUCUAUUCAGGACAAUAAAGUGUAUUUUGAAAGUGUUGCUAACUAUUGAUGCUGACAGGGUCUCACUCCUAUGAGUGACCCAAACAUAUUAUAAAUAGGUGGUAAAGGGAAUGCAGCCGGUGGGGUUGAGCAGAAUGUUAUACUAGCUGUGCCUGGACUGAGUAUAACAGCUUUAUGAUUAUGGGAAAACAAAAUCUUUAUUUUUUUUUCUGUUCCAAAGAUUCAUCCUAUGGGGUGGCCAUAAAGUAUAGAAUUAGACACUAAUAUUUUGUCAUUCAUUAUAACAUAUCAAUAAACCAUUUGUUAAAAUAAAUAAAUAAAUGCUAAUACCUAAGUCGAUCACAUCAGAAUUUCAACUGGGACCCAGACAGAUAUCAGAUAUCAGUGUUUUCU